GACGAACGCUGGCGGCGUGCUUAACACAUGCAAGUCGAACGGCAACGCACUGCUUUUGUGGGCUGCUCGAGUGGCGAACGGGUGAGUAACACGUGAGUAACCUGCCCUUCACUUUGGGAUAACUUCAGGAAACUGGGGCUAAUACCGGAUAGGAGCCCCUGCUGCAUGGUGGGCGUUGGAACGUCUCGGCGGUCGGGGAUGGACUCGCGGCUUAUCAGCUUGUUGGUGGGGUAGUGGCUUACCAAGGCUUUGACGGGUAGCCGGCCUGAGAGGGUGACCGGCCACAUUGGGACUGAGAUACGGCCCAGACUCCUACGGGAGGCAGCAGUGGGGAAUAUUGCACAAUGGGCGGAAGCCUGAUGCAGCAACGCCGCGUGCGGGAUGACGGCCUUCGGGGUGUAAACCGCUUUCGCCUGUGACGAAGCGUGAGUGACGGUAAUGGGUAAAGAAGCACCGGCUAACUACGUG
rnacentral:rRNA from 1 species